GAAGAGAGAAGUAGUACAAUGGUCAGAUCCAGCUGGAGGUGAUGACGAAGAAACGCGGAGGAAAAGAAGUGUGGAUUGGAGAGAAGUAGGGAGAGUCCUGACGAGUCUGUACAAAAGAUGAUCUAGAAGACAGUCCUAACAAGGUGACAGAGGAGAGGAACUGGGCACUCGCUCCAAUUUCCCACUACCACAAAGAAAACUAAAAAAACAACUAUCAGCUGCUAUUCAGUUAGAGCACCUUGGAGGAGCACUGGAAUAUAGCUUGUAUAUGGAGAGACUGAAGAAUAUGGAGAUGGAAGAAAAACAGCCUGUGCCACAUGCUCCCACCAUCCUGAUUUCCACCAGCUGCGCGGAUCCAAACUUCCCUGUGCUAAACUGUGAACCUAGAUAAAUCCUCUUUCCUCUUAAGCUAUUUCUGUCAGGUUGUCACAACAAUGAAAACAGUAGCUAACACAGGACAUAGAAGUAUGAAAAAGCAGAACUGGCACCUCCAGGGGAACACGACCCUAACAAAGAAGAAAUUAACGGA